UCUGUGUUCAGUAGAGAUUCCUUUUCGUGGAUAUUUUGCUUUUCCUGAGAUGGAUGUGAGUGCUCCUGGAUAUUCAGUGAUAAUCAAACCCCCGAUGGACUGUGCGACACAGAGAGACGAGAUCCUGCCUGAGCACAAGUCAGUCACAGCAUUCAAGGGCUGGUCUGGUGUCCAUCAUCCUGUCACACUCAUGAUGGUCAUGUCAGCAGAGAAUGAGAGUUCUGGAAGCCAAGUGGCCCAUGACACCUGCUGUUGAGCCUUGUUGGGCUCCCUGCUAAUGCACUUGGAAAAGCAGCAGAAGAUGGUCCAAGUCCCUGCGCCCCUGCACACACAUGGGAAACCUGGAAGAAGCUCCUGGUUCCUGGCUUCCACCUGGCUCAGCUCUGGCCAUUGUGUGAACCAGUAGAUGGAAGUCUCCCUCUCCCUCUCC